rnacentral:snRNA from 1 species
CUGGUUGCUCUAGAGAGGCU